AGGUGUGUCUUAGUGGUUAGAGGGUCUGCCUGAGAUUCUUCUGCCUCCUAAAGGUCCUGGGCUCAAUUCCCUGAAGCUCC
rnacentral:tRNA from 12 species